rnacentral:rRNA from 1 species
CAGUCGCCACGGUAAUACGUAGGGUGCAAGCGUUAAUCGGAAUUACUGGGCGUAAAGCGUGCGCAGGCGGUUCGUUAAGACAGAUGUGAAAUCCCCGGGCUUAACCUGGGAACUGCAUUUGUGACUGGCGGGCUAGAGUAUGGCAGAGGGGGGUAGAAUUCCACGUGUAGCAGUGAAAUGCGUAGAGAUCUGGAGGAAUACCGAUGGCGAAGGCAGCCAUCUGGCCUAAUACUGACGCUGAGGUACGAAAGCAUGGGGAGCAAACAGGAUUAGAUACCCCUGUAGUCCCUGUCUCUUAUAC